AGGGCCAGGACGCACAGGGCUGCACAGCUCUGCUCGCACACCUGUGGGCGUCAUGGGAAUGGCUGAGACAGAUGCCCUGGCGGGCCCCCACAGUUAAUCCCCCAGAUAAGCCUUUUUCACACAUCGGAGCCACAACAACUGAGGUCAACGGUGCUGUGGCACGAGAAGGGGCUCAUUCAACUUCAAGGCAAUAAGAACCAUUUUUCUAGUGAUAUCAACUGAAAAUACCUUGAGGAAAUAACACCCUGAGGAAGUGAACACCCUGAACACCAACUGUGGUCCCUUAGUCCCAUUUCCCACCAAAGAAGACAGGGCUCCUGGAGGAAUGGCUGAUUCUAGGACUGAGAAGAAAACAGGCCAGAGGAGACGAGCCAGGAACAUCUUGUCAGACCAGAAAGCAAGGAAGCUUCUAAAAACAGACAGGGUCACGUCAAAGGACUUGGGAGCAAACCCUAAGAGUCGUCAAUGGGCCAAAGAUGUGACAGGUGAGCAGUAAAAGAAAACAAAAUAAAAAACAGUAUUUUGAUAUCAAAAUCAAAAUCUGUACGUUCAUAAUAGUACUAAAACACACCCUGCUUGUUCUGUUGAAAACCAGCAAAUAAAGAAUCCAACAUUUAUCCUAUGUCCC